GGCCUCCUGGUGCUUACCGCAGGCAGUGUUUUUAUCCUGACUAUAUAGAAAAAGGAGGCAAAGUAAGUCUUCCCAUAUACACCUCAUCCCAGGCCUUGUGCCUUUGUCUGCAUUGUGAAUGGGGAAACAUAG
ensembl:snoRNA